AUAACAAUACAGGACUCUUUCGAGGCCCUGUAAUUGGAAUGAGUCCACUUUAAAUCAUUUAACGAGGAUCUAUUGGAGGGCAAGUCUGGUGCAGAGCGACUGACCCAUGCGUGCUGCAACUGAAACUCCACUAUCGCCUGCUGCUGCUCGCACAGUCUCCAG